ensembl:lncRNA
CUUUUCUGAGACAGAGCAGGAACAUCUUUUGUCUUAUAUGAUGGAACAGUUUAUUAAAUUUAGAUUGAAUAAGAUCUAUAUAUGUGUGUGUGUGUGUGUGUGUGUGUUUGUGUGUGUGUGUGUUUUGGAGAUGUCACCAGUGAUGACGGGAUGAAUUAUGAGUUUGCAGCAUGGGGCUGAGCACCAACGAAUUCCUGUGUGAUGUGCUGGAUUCCAGCUGUGACGAUUUCCUGCUUUCUGUGCAAUUUCAUCAAAAGGCUUCUUCUUCCAUCUUUAAUAUUGAAGAUAUCCAGCAGCGAAGCUUUCACUGUUUUGUUUUGGAUUUUUGCGCUUUAAAAGACGUUCUGUGUUGGGAAAACUUUGCAUAAACUUUCCAUUGUCAAAGUCUUGGGACGUUGUUUGCCUUGACAACCAAAUGAGGCCAAUUAGCCCCUGGCACGUUUUGCUGUCAUAUCUGUGUGUUGGCGCAUACCAACUAUUUUGUUCAGAGAUGCAAAUGGUGUGUAAACUAAACUACUUCUCUGUGCAUCUUGCAAGAAGAGCUUCACCCAGUGGAACUGAACAAGAGGGAGGCAGGGUUACAAUAUUUGGAUGACUGAUUUCCAAAUGAAAGCAUGAAGACGCCUCUUUAAUAUUUUUUUUUUUUAGAUUUCACUGUGCCUGUGCUCUACUUUUUCAUAUAGUGCAUUUCUUCUUCAGAAUUGUAAGGCAGAGACAAUAGAAAGGCUUCAUUAUCACAAGAAGGCGAGACAAGUUGUUUGUCUCCCAUGUCUGACUCUGGUCACUUCCUGACAAACAGACCUCCUCAAGCUGGUGUAAAACUUGCUGUGAGAAGGCAUCCUGAGGUGACCCACACACCAGAUGUGUGUUUGUGUAUGUGUUUGUAUGUGGAAAAGACUAGCAUGUCCCAGCAUGUUUCCCUGAGUGAAAAUACAGUUGACCAUGUUAUAUUAUUCAUUCUUCUUCCAAAAAAACAACAACAAGCAUGUCCACCGAGAACUUGCUCCGGAUGGAUGACGAGCAUUACAGAAAGCAACUGGCUUUUUCUAAGAAGAGACGCUGUCAUUUUGUCAACACCUCCUAAUGACUUCUAGACAAGAGAACCUAUUGGUAUAAAGUUAGGCUGCUUAACUUUGUGCUGAGUGGUUCUGUUCUCGCACAUACAGUCUCAAUAUAAAUGUGAAAGGCAGAAUGACACAGAGAGAGAGAGAAAGGUGAGAGUCGUUCUGUCUGCUGGAGAGGAAAUGUCUCCAUGGAAACAACAAAGAACAACCUGAACUGAAAAGAACACAGUGUCUAUACAUAGUCUUAAUUUAUGAGCUUUAUUUUACAAAUGUUUUAGUUUUGCUGUUAAUUUGAACUGUGUAUGUUUAUUUGUUGUAUUUAUUGAUCAAAAAAAUGCUUGCAUACAUAUCCAGCAUAUACAGCUGUACAGAAUUUGGCGGAUGUUUUGUGCUACGCAUGGCCCAUACUGCUUUGAGUUACAUAAGAACUGCUCUUUUGCACAUGUCUGUCACACCGUAGCGCAGCUGAAUUUCGAGGGGUCAGAGAAUCCUGGACCUCUAGUUUGACUGACCUGAAAGCAGGCAGGCUUGGAGUCUUAGGUCAUCACCCAGAUAAGAAUGGGAGGAAUGACGUUGUAGGAUCAGAUUACGCAGGAUACAAUGGAGCGGUUGGUUUGGGAACCCGUGGGGGAUGGGCUGGGGGUUAAGAAUUCAUACUGUGAUCUAGUGCAAAAAAAAAAGUUCAAUUCACGGUUUAUGCUAGCAGUAUACAGCUACACCAAAACCUAUAAAAGAAGGUAAAUUUGCUAAAGAAGCAAUAUGUCUGAUUGGAUUAUUUUGAAAACCGAACUACACUUGUGAACAAAAAAAAAUGUUCCAAGCUACAAUAAUUCCAAUGAUGAACCUAUUGAACUACUAUGUUUGGUUAAAACCUUGGCCUUAGCUGACUGAAUGUCAGAGUGGCCACUUGCUGACUCUGCUUUGUAGUUUAACAAUACUCAAACACAUUCUAACUUCUUGUCAGUCUAAUUUGAUAUGACCGAUAAGGACACCAUGCCAUGGAGUGAGAAAUCUGACAUCAGCAGCUGCUCCCAGAACAGCUGGAACUGUCACUGAUGUCCCUGAGCACAGUGGCAGGUGUUAAUUAUUAUUAACACCCUCUACAUAGAUAUUUGCUCUUUUUUCCUAUUCAGAGGCUUACGCAUGGUAAGAGACACAUUGAAGCUGUCCUUAGAUUGCUGUUAAAUGUCUUUACCACCAACAUCUGUAAGUUGAAAGAAUGGCGUUGGACUGUAAAUUUGCCUUUCCUCAGGGUUUCUGUACUACCAGUCCUAAGUGUUAUGAAGGGUUUUUUUUUUGUCCAAAACUGUCUACAUUUGGUGAAUAAUGGAGUUCUUUAAACGUAUACUGUAUAUUUUUUCACGGCAGUGAUGAUGCUACAUUCCAAAGGUCAUAAGACGCUAUGUUUGUAUGUAUCACAGGAUAUCGUCUUAAUAGAGCAAUGAAAAGGAACUGUAGUAUAACAAUUUGGACAAAAUUGUGAGGACAAUUUAUAACCUAAGUGUGAAGAGGGUAUGCAUAAGCUUAUGCAAUAGUGAACUGAUAAAAUUGAAAUCUUAGCAGUUCUGUAUGCUUUUUUUUAAAAUCAAACUAAUGCUAGCUGUAUAGAAGAUCUCUGUCAAAGCAAUGGUGGAAAAUUGUUUGAAAUUGGUUUCUUAUAGAAUAGAUAUCAAGAUAGAAAGAAGAAAGAGAGAGGUCAAGCUUCACAUUCCUUCCCAGACCUUCUUCCUUUCCACCUACUCCCUUUUCAAUGAAGUGCUGCUUUACCCUGCUGCCUUUGAAGCUCUCACAUCUAUGCUUAAACAGAAAGCCCUCUCUGUUUUUUUUCCAGUACACUGCACACAAACCGCCAGCCAAUCAGAUAGCCCAUUCUUGCCUCGUCUCAAGUAGCGUUUCCCAGGCAAUGGUCAACAAUCCCCCCUCCUCCGUCCUGUCCCCCAACAACGCACACCAUUUGAACUGGUAUCUGUCAAGUGUUUUGUUUUUCCUCUCUCCCCCUGUCUCUUUCUCUCCCACUGACCCUCUUUUUCCGACUGGAAGAUCAAGAGCCGAGUCACAGGCUUGCACUUGGCAUAAAACUCUUAAUCAUCGUCUGCCUUUGUCUGUCAACGCUGUCAAUGUUGGGCUGUAUUGUUCUAUUCUGUAUGAUGUCCUAGUAUGUUAUAUUAUGUUAUUCUGUUGUCGCUCUGUCACAACCACAGCGGUUAACGUUAUUUUGUACAAGUGAUUUUUUUCACAAUGUGAAAUUUAUGAAAUGUGAAAUAAAACAUAAGAGCUUUUUCCUCUUGAUUAUUAAAGGAGUGUUGUUGACCUUA